rnacentral:rRNA from 1 species
AUUGAACGCUGGCGGAAUGCUUUACACAUGCAAGUCGAACGGUAGAGGGGGCAACCCCUCGAGAGUGGCGAACGGGUGAGUAAUAUAUCGGAACGUGCCCAGUCGUGGGGGAUAACGUAGCGAAAGUUACGCUAAUACCGCAUACGAUCUAAGGAUGAAAGCGGGGGAUCGCAAGACCUCGCGCGAUUGGAGCGGCCGAUAUCAGAUUAGGUAGUUGGUGGGGUAAAGGCUCACCAAGCCAACGAUCUGUAGCUGGUCUGAGAGGACGACCAGCCAAACUGGAACUGAGACACGGUCCAGAAUCCUACGGGAGGCAGCAGUGGGGAAUUUUGGACAAUGGACGCAAGUCUGAUCCAGCCAUUCCGCGUGCAGGAUGAAGGCCCUCGGGUUGUAAACUGCUUUUGUACGGAACGAAAAGGUCUCUCUUAAUACGGGGGACUCAUGACGGUACCGUAAGAAUAAGCACCGGCUAACUACGUGCCAGCCGCCGCGGUAA